rnacentral:piRNA from 1 species
GAAACCAAACGCUGAUUGUACACAGUGA